rnacentral:rRNA from 1 species
AGUGAACGCUGGCGGCGUGCCUAAUACAUGCAAGUCGAACGAAGUGGCGCACGGGUGAGUAAUAUAUAGUUAAUCUGCCCUACACAGAGGAACAACAGUUGGAAACGACUGCUACUACCUCAUAGUGUAGGAUGAGACUAUAUCGUAUCAGCUAGUUGGUAAGGUAAUGGCUUACCAAGGCGAUGACGCGUAACUGGUCUGAGAGGAUGAUCAGUAACCUUGGAACUGAGACACCGUUCAAAAUCAUCCGGGAGGCAGCAGUAACGUAUAUUGCGCAAUGGGGGAAUCCCUCACGCAGCAACGCCGCGUGGAGGAUGUCAAUUUUCGGAGCGUAAACUCCUUUUAGCAGGAAAGCGGUACCCGAUGAAUAAGCACCGGCUAACUCCGUGCCAGCAGCCGCGGUAAUUC